CUAAAUUUAUCUUCGGAAGGAGAAAACACUUGCUCUCCAAGUAUGUGUUAGAAUCUUUCAGCUUCUCACUUCUGCCAAUGCUUUCUCUAAGUAUUUAUUUUUCAUUUCUAUGCAUGAUGAGAAAGAAGAUGAAAAGAGCUUAGGGUUCCAAUGAAAUGUUCGCAGAGAUGCAGGGCAAUACACAGGAAACACACAGGGACUGUGUUAUGCACUUCAGAUGAGGAAUACAAAAUACAAAAUUCCUUAUAAGUUGUGGAAUAAAAGAUGCAAGACAAAACAAGCAGUGCCGAAGACACACGGACCACAUUAAUCAGAAAGAAGCAGGGUGCUAAAUGAAGAGGCCAAGAGAUCCUCUUGGGAUAUCUGGGAUUAUUUCACAGAGAAGAAACCUAAAUUCUUAACCUAGAUUCUCAAAGUAUGAGGAGUAAGCAAGCAGAUACUGCGAGUAGAGAUGACACCAAUGAAAACACAAUGGACAUGAGAAAAUAAGGGCACUGCAAACACAAUUACACACCCAAAGCCUAAUUUUCAACUAAGGAAACUUGAGUCCCAGACUGCCCAGCAUUGUAAAAUGUACGAAGAGAUUUAGGUUUUAUUCUUCAGCAGACAAAAUGCACUGACUUUUUUUGUUUGUUUGUUUAAUUGAGGAGUGGUAUGAUUCCAUAACGGAUUUAAAAGAGUAAAUGUGUUAGGACUGGGAGAUUGAUUGGCAUGGGAAGAUGAUAGCAAGGAGACCAGGCUAUUAGAGG
rnacentral:lncRNA from 1 species